rnacentral:rRNA from 1 species
UUCGGUUGAUUGAUAGGAAUGCUUAGUGGCGGACUGGUGCGUAACACGUGAGUAACCUGCCCCGAAGAGUGGAAUAACACAGCGAAAGUUGUGCUAAUACCGCAUAACAUGGUUGUACCGCAUGGUGCUGACCAUCAAAGAUUUAUCGCUUUGGGAUGGACUCGCGUCCGAUUAGCUGGUUGGUGAGGUAACGGCUCACCAAGGCGACGAUCGGUAGCCGGACUGAGAGGUUGACCGGCCACAUUGGGACUGAGAUACGGCCCAGACUCC